CGUAGCUCCGAUCGCGCUCGUCUGCCCCCGUUGCCAACCGAUAGCGCGCGGUGUAUCUGGAUGAUGGCCAGGAUGCCUGCCUAUCGAUCUUUUCAAAUUUUACGCGGCGCUAUCAUUUAUCCGGAGAGUGUAUGUAAAAGGGAAUCUGCGAUUUGCCGGAGUGGAGAUGUACGACGGUAAAGCCGUCAGCUGCGAAGCACACCACGAAGGGACCUACUCGUCGCACUCUUCCCUGAAUAACGGCUCCUCUUUCGUCCAAAAUGGCCGUCACGACGAACGGAAAGAACAAAAAAUUUCACCGCGAUGGAUACCGUGCCCAAGAAGAGCAAGGGCCGCCCGCGCAAGGACCAAACGGCUGUGAAAAAAGUCGUGGAUGAAAAUACUCGCCAAGGGAUUGCGAGCGGAAAGAGUUGCAAGAGUCAACCUAACGAAAGCCGGGAAUGCAGGGAAACAGGAUGGGAAGCGCGUGGAAUCCAAAACGGCGCAGGCGGUCCGUAAAGUGAAAUCGCACUGUCGAGCUGAAACGGUGCAGCCUGCACAGGCGAAGGAUGCCAUCAAGAAAAAGUGCGCGCCGAUACGCCGAUUCCGGAAGUCCGCGGUACUGUCAAGGAAAGCCAUCCGGCGACGAAAAAAGCGGAGAAGCAGCCACCGGAAAUCAACCACCAGGAUGUGACGAAGGAGCGGAAGGUGGGCGUUAACUUUCUGUUUUGUCGCUAAUACAGCGCGCAUAGUAGUUGCAGUAUUUAAAAAAAAGUUAAAAAAUUGUAUACUUUAUUGAGGUUCGUAUUGGACAAUGUAAUACAAGAAUAUCAAUUAACAAAAACCAUAACAUCAUUUCCGUUCCGCAGUAUUUUGGUUAGUAAUGUAGUACGUAGUCGUACCGAUACAAUUGACGUACAAGCGCCGGUUCAGUACAGCGAAAUACAGUACACAAAUUUGCGUGUUACGCCAAACGUAGUGUAGUGGCAAUCGCUAUAGCGCAGACUUCGCGCUAAUUAUGUGCUAUCUGUACCUUUACGACAGAAAUUACCGGACAGGCUUGUACAUGUUUAUUUCUAGGCUUACGUUUUAUUUGAAUGUAUGUACCGCACGUGAGUCGGUUUGAUGAAAUGUUUUUUUGACAAUUGGAAUCGUGUUAUGAGGAAUGUUAAUUUUGACGCUUUUUGCGAUAAUAAUUGUGUCUGGUUUUGUAAGAAAAACCGGAUCGUGCACACCGUCCGAUAAAGACCAAAAACGACCGGAAAACUGUUGAAUCUCCCGCAAAGUCGCACUGCCUGGUGGAGCAGACGACUGAUGACGCUGUGGAUAUCAAUUUGGUCUCUUCCGGUCAGUACAGCGUUUGUUCAACGAAUUCGAUAUGUGUUGCGUUUCGGGUUGUUUUUCUGUUAUUUACUCAUGUUUAUUCACCGUCUUUUUUGGAUUACCGCUUGUUUGUUUUUUUCUGGUCGCUGAAUUGACUGGGAGGUGUGAACGGCUUUUUUUUUACGUUAAACGAAUGUGUAUUGUAUUAUCUUUCCGCGAUGCCUGGAAAAAAAAUAAAAUAAUUGGUCUGUUA